rnacentral:rRNA from 1 species
UACGGGAGGCAGCAGUGAGGAAUAUUGGUCAAUGGACGCAAGUCUGAACCAGCCAUGCCGCGUGCAGGAUGACGGCUCUAUGAGUUGUAAACUGCUUUUGUACGAGGGUAAACUCACCUACGUGUAGGUGACUGAAAGUAUCGUACGAAUAAGGAUCGGCUAACUCCGUGCCAGCAGCCGCGGUAAUACGGAGGAUUCAAGCGUUAUCCGGAUUUAUUGGGUUUAAAGGGUGCGUAGGCGGUUAGAUAAGUUAGAGGUGAAAUCCCGGGGCUUAACUCCGAAAUUGCCUCUAAUACUGUUUGACUAGAGAGUAGUUGCGGUAGGCGGAAUGUAUGGUGUAGCGGUGAAAUGCUUAGAGAUCAUACAGAACACCGAUUGCGAA